CCACCAUGUGGGCUGACUGGUGCACGGAUAAACAGGACACUUCUGGAUUGCUUCUGCUUUUGACAGCAUCAACAACCCUGGUUACCAACACCAUCCCCAAAGCCAGCGAAAUAUAAUCUCACUGCCUCUCUCCUGGUGUGCUCCCCAACCCCUGUGGUGUAAAGUAGAGCAGACAGAAAGGAUGACAUUUCUGAAUUUAGAGACUGCAAAGAGCGAAGAAAAACAAGCAUCUGUGGCCCUCCAGGACCCACCAGGUGAGAAAAUGGAGGCUCAGAGAGGUUACAUGCCCAGCUGAACUCAGUUGAAUACGACGCACCAGAUCUGUUUUUCAGCAUGGGGACCUCCAAGGGACGCUUGAGUUGAGUGAGCUGUUUUCCUCCGCAUAUACCUCACCACUGCAGGGGGCCUUCCUC
rnacentral:lncRNA from 1 species